AUUGAACGCUGGCGGCAGGCCUAACACAUGCAAGUCGAACGAGUGGCGGACGGGUGAGUAAUGUCUGGGAAACUGCCUGAUGGAGGGGGAUAACUACUGGAAACGGUAGCUAAUACCGCAUACCAUCAGAUGUGCCCAGCUGGGAUUAGCUAGUUGGUGGGGUAACGGCUCACCAAGGCGACGCUCCCUAGCUGGUCUGAGAGGAUGACCAGCCAAACUGGAACUGAGACACGGUCCAGACUCCGACGGGAGGCAGCAGUGGGGAAUGUGGCGCAAUGGGCGCAAGCCUGAUGCAGCCAGGCCGCGUGUAUGAAGAAGGCCUUCGGGUUGUAAAGUACUUUCAGCAGGGAAGCGGUAGCCGCAGAAGAAGCACCGGCUAACUACGUGCCAGCAGCCGCGGUAAUAC
rnacentral:rRNA from 1 species